AAAAGAGCAUGGGAACAGAAGAUAGGAAAACAAUACAGACAGCUAUUUCAAUGAUUCUUUUCUGUAAAGGGGCACAGAGAAAAGGCAUUGGUGCUGGAAGGGAUUUGCAUGUUCAAGAAAGAGUUUUAUUUAAAAGAUAUUAAGGCAGAGAGCAGUUAAAUAACUUGCCAAAAAUUCUCAACAGGUGAGUACCAAGAGCUGAGAUGAGAAAUCAGUUUAGAAAUCAAUCUAGCUUCCCCCAGGAACAAGUCUCACAGCUCCCUUGUAUCAACCUCUUUUUUUCUUUCUCUCUUUUUUUUUUUUUUUUUUUUGUAGGGACAAGGUCUUGCUAUGUUGCCCGGCCUGGUCUCAAACUCCUGGGCUUAAGCAACCCUCCCCAGUCCUGCCACCAUAGCCUCCCAAAGCCCUGGGAUUACAGGUGUAAGCUGCAAGAACUUCUUGAAAGGCAAUUCAACAUAGUGUUUAAAAGCAUGCAGGAGUCCUGGGUUCAAAUCUCCAUUCCAGCUCUAUCCAGGCCUCUGAGCCCAAGCUAAGCCAUCAUAUCCCCUGUGACCUGCACAUAUACAUCCAGAUGGCCUGAAGCAACUGAAGAUCCACAAAAGAAGUGAAAAUUGCCAGUUCCUGCCUUAACUGAUGACAUUCCAGCAUUGUGAUUUGUUCCUGCCCCACUCUAACUGAUCAAUUAACUUUGUGACAAUACACCCUCCCCACCCUUGAGAAGGCACUUUGUAAUAUCCUACCCCAACCCACUGCCCUUAAGAAGGUACUUUGUAAUAUUCUCCCCACCCUUGAGAAUGUACUUUGUAAGAUCCACCCGCUGCCCACAAAAAAAUUGCUCCUAACUCCACUGCCUAUCCCAAACCUAUAAGAACUAAUGAUAAUCCCACCACCCUUUGCUGACACUCUUUUUGGACUCCGGCUGCCUGCACCCAGGUGAUUAAAAAGCUUUAUUGCUCACACAAAGCCUGUUUGGUCGUCUCUUCACACGGACACACAUGACAUUUGGUGCCGAAGAGCUGGGACAGGAGGACUCCUUCAGGAGACCAGUUCCCUUGUCCUCGCCCUCACUCCAUGAGGAGAUCCACCUAUGACCUCGGGUCCUCAGACCAACCAGCCCAAGGAACAUCUCACCAAUUUCAAAUCAGCCAAAAUCCACAGUGAUCCACAUAAUACUCAGGAAUCACCCAGAAGGGAUUUCUAUCUGAAAGGAGAAAGAAGCUCUGGGGCAUGAAUAUACGUUGUCUUGUAAAAAAAUAAAUCAGUAAUUCAUGUGUGUAUAUUUUAUACUCAAUGGGAAAAAAUGUUUUAUUUAAAAAAACACUCAAUAUUUUACAUGACAUUGUGAAAAGGCAGCACGGAAUUACUCAUUUGCUUCCUUUUUUAAAGUUUUAGAUGAAAAAU
rnacentral:lncRNA from 1 species